CAGAUCACCAGAAGUUGGAGCGCGAGGCCAGGAUCUGCCGCCUGCUGAAGCACUCCAACAUCGUGCGGCUGCACGACAGCAUAUCAGAGGAAGGAUUCCACUAUCUGGUCUUUGACUUAGUCACUGGUGGCGAGCUGUUCGAGGACAUCGUUGCCAGGGAGUACUACAGUGAAGCUGAUGCCAGGUCAGUGUGAGCUCUUUCCUUUCUGCGUUACUGUAGACGUGUCAUGUGACUCGCUCUCCCUCGGCAGCAAAGGCGUAUUCAUGCAGCCACAGUGAACUAGAGCAGACACACAAUGACAGCUGAUCACAGUGGAUGUUUGCAAAGCUCAUCAUGCCUCACGUAUGCAUCUAUGCCUUUUGUGCCCCAAACCCUCUGUACCUUUUCUCUGUCCCUUUAUGAGGAGGCUCCUUCCUCAGCUUCUGUUCUGCUUAUUAAAAAUCACCCAUAAAGCAAAUAAUCCAGAGUAGGGAUGGGUAUCGUUUAGGUUAGGUUAG